rnacentral:rRNA from 1 species
AUUGAACGCUGGCGGCAUGCCUUACACAUGCAAGUCGAACGGUAACAGGUCUUCGGAUGCUGACGAGUGGCGAACGGGUGAGUAAUACAUCGGAACGUGCCCGAUCGUGGGGGAUAACGCAGCGAAAGCUGUGCUAAUACCGCAUACGAUCUACGGAUGAAAGCGGGGGAUCGCAAGACCUCGCGCGGACGGAGCGGCCGAUGGCAGAUUAGGUAGUUGGUGGGAUAAAAGCUUACCAAGCCGACGAUCUGUAGCUGGUCUGAGAGGACGACCAGCCACACUGGGACUGAGACACGGCCCAGACUCCUACGGGAGGCAGCAGUGGGGAAUUUUGGACAAUGGGCGCAAGCCUGAUCCAGCCAUGCCGCGUGCAGGAUGAAGGCCUUCGGGUUGUAAACUGCUUUUGUACGGAACGAAAAAGUUCUCUCUAAUACAGGGGGCGAAUGACGGUGCCGUAAGAAUAAGCACCGGCUAACUACGUGCCAGCCGCCGCCGUAAUAC